rnacentral:rRNA from 1 species
CCGCACAAGCGGUGGAGCAUGUGGUUUAAUUCGAGGCAACGCGAAGAACCUUACCAGGUCUUGACAUCCCGAUGCUAUUUCUAGAGAUAGAAAGUUACUUCGGUACAUCGGUGACAGGUGGUGCAUGGUUGUCGUCAGCUCGUGUCGUGAGAUGUUGGGUUAAGUCCCGCAACGAGCGCAACCCCUAUUGUUAGUUGCCAUCAUUCAGUUGGGCACUCUAGCGAGACUGCCGGUAAUAACCGGAGAAGUGGGGAUGACGUCAAAUCAUCAUGCCCCUUAUGACCUGGGCUACACACGUGCUACAAUGGUUGGUACAACGAGUUGCGAGUCGGUGACGGCGAGCUAAUCUCUUAAAGCCAAUCUCAGUUCGGAUUGUAGGCUGCAACUCGCCUACAUGAAGUCGGAAUCGCUAGUAAUCGCGGAUCAGCACGCCGCGGUGAAUACGUUCCCGGGCCUU